GGCAAGGUGGCCGAGUGGUUAAGGCGCUGUGUUUAGGUAUUCAUUCACCAUCCGCAGUGGGAAACCUCGCGAGUUCGAAUCUCGUCCUUGUCA